CAGGCAGAUGGCUGAGCUAAUCUCACUAACGAAAAUACUAAGAGAGCAGGGAAGCCACAAAAGGAUGGGAAGGAAGGGAGAGGAAAAAUCAUGGUGGAUGCGGUCACAAAUGUGAAGUCAGAAUGGAAAACAGCUUCUUCACCGGCAGCCCAGGGAACACUUUACAGGAAAGCAGGCAACAAUAGAAGGAGUAACUCUGAAGUUCGGCACUGAUCACAGCCAAGCCAAGGGCUGGAAAGAACAACUGAGACUCGGACAGAGCAACCAAAGCUCCUGCUGACAUCCCUGCCCAGGGCCUAGCAGCAGCACUCGUGUGGAUGAUGUAAAUGUGCUUUCAAGACUGCUGCCAUGGAAAUGUGAAUGUUACGAUCUAAGCAUCCCGUGUAACAACCGUAACGCUGACACUCAGAUCAUCGCUCUACAAUAGACAUUGGCAUAAACAAAUGCUAAGUCUCAUCUUAGAUUUUAUAGCUUCAUGCU
rnacentral:lncRNA from 1 species